AAAAAUUCUACCAGAAAUCUUGCUCAGAUAUAUAAACACGGCAUCAUUUCUAAAAAAGAAUGUUAUCGAGAUGGUACUUUUGGAAGGUCAUUUUACCUAAACAAGGAAAAACAAAUGAAUUUUGGGUGUACCUAGAAACCCAAGCCAUCGCUCCCUCGAACUAUUUUAAUCUCGCAAAAUUCCUCCCGAAUUGUUAUGCACUUUUCUAUCAGAAAUCUUGCUCUGAUGUACCAAGUGUAGCUUAUUUUCUGAAAGGAAAUUUUAUGUCUAUAAUAACUUAAAGAAGUCGUUUAUUGAUUUUUCAAAUGGUUUUUAU